rnacentral:rRNA from 1 species
GACGAACGCUGGCGGCGUGCUUAACACAUGCAAGUCGAACGGAAAGGCCCUGCUUGCAGGGUGCUCGAGUGGCGAACGGGUGAGUAACACGUGGGUGAUCUGCCCCUUACUUUGGGAUAAGCCUGGGAAACUGGGUCUAAUACUGGAUAGGACCAUGCUGUAGGUGGUGUGGUGGAAAGAUUAGUUUCGGUAAGGGAUGAGCUCGCGGCCUAUCAGCUUGUUGGUGGGGUAAUGGCCUACCAAGGCGUCGACGGGUAGCCGGCCUGAGAGAGUGGACGGCCACAUUGGGACUGGGAUACGGCCCAGACUCCUACGGGAGGCAGCAGUGGGGAAUAUUGCACAAUGGGCGCAAGCCUGAUGCAGCGACGCCGCGUGGGGGAUGACGGCCUUCGGGUUGUAAACUCCUUUCAGCCAUGACGAAGCCCUUGUGGUGACGGUAGUGGUAGAAGAAGCACCGGCUAACUACGUG